rnacentral:ncRNA from 1 species
CCCCGGGGACGACCCCGGCGGCUAUUUUCUCGGACGCGGGACGACCCGC